UACGUAGGGGGCAAGCGUUAUCCGGAUUUACUGGGUGUAAAGGGAGCGCAGGCGGCAUGAUAAGUCUGAUGUGAAAACCCAAGGCUCAACCAUGGGACUGCAUUGGAAACUGUCGUGCUGGAGUGUCGGAGAGGUAAGCGGAAUUCCUAGUGUAGCGGUGAAAUGCGUAGAUAUUAGGAGGAACACCAGUGGCGAAGGCGGCUUACUGGACGAUGACUGACGCUGAGGCUCGAAAGCGUGGGGAGCAAACAGG
rnacentral:rRNA from 2 species